rnacentral:misc_RNA from 1 species
AACGCACGAGACCUGCGGACCUGCGGAGGGAUCAUUAUUGAAUUUGCCUUGAUGGGUUGUUGCUGGCCUUUCGAGGCACUGUGCACGCCUGUCUUGACUCUAUUCAUCCACCUGUGCACUUAUUGUAGUCCUGUGCUCAUUCGGGGGUCAAGAAAGCAGAGCUUAUUGUUCAGUUGAAACAUAUUGGAUGUGAGGAUUGCCUUCCUGGCUUUCUUCUACUUAGCUCUGUGGAAUUGCGCU